GAUUUCUGGCUAAUUCGGAUGGCCCGGCUCCUUUCGGGGCUGCGUGCCGUCUCUGAGUUUGCCAUCCUUCCAGAGAGCUGCGCCUACCGCUUCUGCGGCCGGGCGCUGUGAUCUGGAUCUUUUACUUUGAAAAAAUUAGAGUGUUCCAAGCAGGCUUACGCUUUGAAUACAUUAGCAUGGAAUAAUAAUAUAGGACUUUGGACCUAUUUUGUUGGUUUCUAGGACUGAAGUAAUGAUUGAUAGGGAUAGUUGGGGGUGCUAGUAUUCAGCGGCCAGAGGUGAAAUUCUUGGAUUCGCUGAAGACUAACUACUGCGAAAGCAUU
rnacentral:rRNA from 1 species